rnacentral:ncRNA from 1 species
UAAAAUAUUUAUGUUUUAGGUUCUAUAAGUAAUUGAUUUUACUUGAGAUUAAUAGGGAAAGUGGUUAAAAGCCACUACAGCCCCCGCUACUGUAAAGGGUGACUAGUUCUUUAAGGAAUAUGAAAAUAAACUAGCAUAUUGACUAGUUAAUUAUUUGAAUGUGCCUAAUAUCCACUGGAAUUUUAUCUGGGAAGGAAAAGAAUGUUUAGGAUGAUCCCUAAGUCAGGAGACCUGCCUAAAAUUUAUGCUAUCU